rnacentral:rRNA from 1 species
AACGAACGCUGGCGGCGUGCCUAACACAUGCAAGUCGAACGGGAUUCGGAGCUUGCUCCGAUGAGAGUGGCGCACGGGUGAGUAACGCGUAGAUAAUCUGCCUGAUGAUCUGGGAUAACAGUUCGAAAGGACUGCUAAUACCGGAUAAGCCCACGGAGACCUUGGUCUUUGCGGGAAAAGGGGGGGACCUUCGGGCCUUCCGUCAUCAGAUGAGUCUGCGUACCAUUAGCUAGUUGGUAGGGUAAAGGCCUACCAAGGCGACGAUGGUUAGCUGGUCUGAGAGGAUGAUCAGCCAAAAUGGAACUGAGACACGGGCCAGACUCCUACGGGAGGCAGCAGUGGGGAAUUUUGCGCAAUGGGGGAAACCCUGACGCAGCAACGCCGCGUGAGUGAUGAAGGCUCUUGGGUCGUAAAGCUCUGACAGAGGGAAAGAAGUGUAUGGUGGUUAAUACCCAUUGUACUUGACGGUACCCUCAAAGGAAGCACCGGCUAACUCCGUGCCAGCCGCCGCAGUAAGAC